UAGGUGGUAGAGGUAGCCAACACUGUAUUAUAUAUAUAUAUAUAUAUAUAUAUAUAUAUAUAUAUAUAUUUUUUUUAUUAAUUGGGAAGCCCCCAAAAUAUUGGGACAUUAAAAAAAACAAAACCCCCCCCCCCAAAAAACCCAUACAACUCUGUUCCGCAGAGUAGCUGUUGACAUUAUAGUUGCACAGGCACUUUGUUGACUCUAGAGAACCUCGAACCAAUCGCACAUCCCCAUGACGGCGACUUUGCAUUUGGAUGUCAUCCAUAUCAACUUUCGAUUGCCAGUUUCUGCACCUACCAUGGUGACCAGGGUAACGGGGAAAUCAGGGUUCCAUUCCUUACAGGGACCCUGAGAAACGGCUACCACAUGCAAGGAAGGCAGCAGGCGUGCAAAUGACCCACUCCCGGCGCGGGAAGGUAGUGACGAUAAAUAACAAUACAGGACUCCUUAGAGGCCCUGUAAUUGUAAUGAGUCCACUUGAAAUCCUUUAACUCUGAUCAAUUGGUGGGGGGGGGGGGAAGGGAAGUCUGGUGCAGAGCCAAC